UCUCCUAGGGUUUUCUAGUUCAUCCAAACCCCAUAAUCUCCUCCUCUCGUUCAACUUUUCAGGUGAAACAUAGAGAAACAUCUCCUGAAUCAUUGGUUCAUCUUCCUCUUGAUGUGGAUCAUCAAUUCUGUACCUUGGUAGAUGGAAGUGUGUUCUUAUAUUAGCUUUUUAAACUGAGAUAUCAGCUGGAUGGGUUGUAUCUUUUAUUUUGGUACUUCUUUGAGGGUCAAAGAUCCCUAGAGCUGAUUGUAUGUCAAGUUGUGGCAUGAAUGGAGAUACUGAGAUGCUCGGACAUACAAAACUGUUGGACUGCCUUCUAUUCUUAGGUGUAUUAGCUGCUUAGAUAUCACUUGAACCUUCCCCCUUCGUAAGAUUCAUUUUAAUGGCUGAGUUUGUAUAGGGUAUUCAGUUGUUGGGUAUCAUUGUUGGCUUUUUGGCUUGUGAAUAGAUACUUCUAGUAUCUUGUAGUACUGUUAUCUGUAGCCUUCAGCCUUCUCAUGUUUUUGCUACUAAUAAUCUGAUAUAAGGGUACUGUAGCUUAUCACUAUUUAAGAUCUUCUUGCCUUGUAUUUCCAAUUGUUGAAAGGAUGUUAUGAUAAAAUCUCCUUUUUCUACUGUUGUAUUUGCUAGAUAAUCUUCCAACUAAAUCCUUUCCCUCCUUAUGUGUUGAAAAACUACUUAUUAUGUAUCAACUCUGAUAUGAUGUUGUCUAUGGUGUUUAGUAAAUUUCAUGGACAACUCCAUUCCUUAGUAUCUUCAGCUUAAAUAAAGAAUAUAUUUGUGUAAUGACUAUUUUGAAUUGGGAAUGUCCAUAAUCUAUAGCUGCUAUUAGAAUAGCCCAUGCUUCUGCUUCUAUGUUUGUAGUGUCAUCAAUUUUAUCUCCCUCUACAUAUAUAAGAAAUCACCCCAGGAUUACCUUUAGAGGCCCGAUCUGUGUUGUACUUCAUCCAUCCUUCAUCUGGACAUCUCCAUUCCACUUUUGUGAUUAUCAGUUUAGGUCUCCUCUUUUCUAAUUCAGUAAGUAUAUCUGACCACAAACUUGGAAAAUUUUGUCCUAGAUUCCUCACUCUUAAUAAAAUUCCUCAUCCAUCCUUUCAUGUUUUGAAUUAUUCAUUCUCCUCCACAGUUCCCAUAAUAUCAAGCUUGGAAUGGCUUGAUAAUAGGAUCUUGUUUUUCCAAAGACUUUAGCAUGCCACCAUCUCAUGAUAAGUUCUCUAAUGCUUCCUCCAACCAUGCUUAUACCUGCAAAAGAAGAAAAAAAGAACCAUAUCCCAUUAGCAGUGACAGACUUAAGAAACACAUGUGAAGUGGUUUCUUAAGUUGGCAUGGUGCAACACAAAUACCAAGUCGGUCCUUCUAUUCACUAUCUUCUCAAAUUAUCAUCUACUUCUAUCUUCUCUUUCCAAUACCUCCACAUGAGAAAUGCCAUUUUAAAAGGCAAACCCUUCACCCAAAUGUUUUUGUAUAUCAGAUUUUUCUCACCCCUUUUGUCUUAUAAAGUUCCAACCUUAUUUAAUAGAUAACUUUCCAGUGGCCUCUAGUUUCUAUAUAGCAAUAUAAUUCUCUCUUCCCCAAUCUAAAAUCUUGAUAGUUUGAAUGAUAUGAUAAAUAAUAUCAACUUUAAAUAGCUGAGAUAUUACAUUUUCAUUCCACUAUCCAUCUUUGAUUAAAUCCUUCACCUGCUGACAAUCCAAAUCACAUUCCUUUGAUUCUACAACCAAUGAAUACAAAUCCCCUUCUCUUAUCCAGUUAUCAUACCACGGAUGUGAAUUUCCACUUCUAAUUCUCCAUAUUAUCUGAUGCUCAACCAUAUGCUUUCUUGUAGCAUCUUCUUCCAUACCUGAGAACGUAGUCAUAUUUUCCAUUCAAUCUCAUUAGGGGGUUGCUUCUUACAUUACUUAUUAUGCAUAAAUUUACACCACAAGGAAUCCUUUGUACGAAAAUUCCACCAUAAUUAUCAAAAUAGGUCCAUUGACAUAUCCUUUAUAUUGCUAAACCCUAGUCCUCCCUCUUCCUCUAGAGUACAAAGAUUACUCCAUUUAAUCUAAUGCCUGCUUUUUCCUCCAAUAUGAGUACUCCAGAAAAAUUGAGCAAACAUACUUUGGAUAACAGACAUUAUAUUUAAAGGGGGGUUCAUCACUAACAAACAAUGCAUUGGAUUGUUUUGUAAAACAUGUUUGUUAAGGAUGGUUUUACCUCCAUAAAAUAACAAUUUUCCUUUCCAUCCUUGAAGCUUUCCACUGAUCUUGCUCAUGAUUCCCUUAUAGUAGUCUUUUUUCUUUCUCAUGUGAAGUAUAGGGCACCCAAGGUAUGUGAAAGGAAAAGCUUUCCUUAAAAUCUGUGUAGCCACUUCUUCUAGGACAACCAGCCCAUGAGACACUCCCUUAUACAAGUAAAGAGAGUUUUUUCCUUGUUUGUUUUCUGACCUUAAACUUUCUCAUACCUAUCUAAAGUUUUAGUCACUUUCUGCAUAGUUUGGAGGUCAACAUUGCAUAAUAUGAUCAUAUCAUCUGCAAAUGCAAAAUGAUUCACUUUACGACUACCCAUUGGCAUUCCAAAUAGCUUAAAAUCUUUUAUGAACAUCAAAUAUUUUAAAGCUCUAGACAUAACCUCUGCUGCUAUAAUAAACAGGGUAGGUGAUAGUGAAUCCCUUUGUUUCAGUCCUUUAGUGGAUUUAAAAAAACCAUUUGGCUGCCCAUUCAACAAAAUUGAGUACCAGUUGUUUGCCACUAGCCUAUAUACCAUGUUAAUCAUCAUCUCACUGAAUCCAACCUUUCUUAAAACCUUUAUGAGAAAUAGCCAAUCAACUUUAUCAUAAGCUUUCAUCUUGUCAAGCUUUAUCACCAUAUUGGGAAUCCUUCCUCUCUUUUUUAUUUCUUUAAUAUAUUAAUUUCCUGGACCAUUAAAAUAUUCUCUGCAAUGCUUCUACUUUAGAAAAAUCCCACCUAUUCUUCUGAUAUAAUCUGAGGUAGGAUUCUUUUAAUUCUCUCAUGAAUAAUUCUUGAAAGAAUCUUGUUUACAAAAUUACUCAAUGAGAUUGAUCUCAUUUCCAGUUAUGCCAUCUGUACCACAUGCGCUGGUUCUGUUCAAUCCCAUCACUACAUCCUUAACUUCCUAAAUGCCUGGUAUCUUGGUCAUUUCUUCAUUCUAUUCAUUAUUUACUACUGUGGGCAAUUCGUUCAACAUUUCAAAAUCUCUAGUCUCUUACCUCUUUUAAAAAUUGUUGGUGAAAAAAAUUCACUGCUGCCUAUGCUAUUAACUGUUGGUUCUCUAUCCAUUCUCCCUCAUCAUUAUGUAUUCUAGUAACCUUAAGUUUGUUUCUUCUCCCUUUCACAACUUUAUGAAAGAACUUUAUGUUUUUCUCCCCAUUUUUAAACCGGUCCAUGCCACCCUUCUGUCUCUAAUAGGCUUUUUCCCUCUUUAGUUGUAAAUUUAACUCUGCCUGAGAUUUAAAUAAAUUUUGUCUGUUCUGCCUAGUUGGAUUUUCUUCAAAUUGUUUCUAUCUAACUUUGAUAACCUCUUCCAGAGUAACAAUUUCCUGGAAGACGUUACCAUAAUAGUCUCUACUCCAUGUUGCCUGAGUAUUUUUAACCCUUUUUAGUUUAUGAUGAAAAAAGUAAAAGUGUUUCCCAUCACCUCAAGACUCCAGUUAUCUCUCACAAUUUCCUGACAUGACUUCUCUUUCAUCCAUAUAUUCAGAAACCUAAAAGGUUUUCGAAUAUGCUCAUUAACAGUGCUAACGUGGAUCUUAAGAGAUGAAUGAUCAGAACUGCUCCUAAAUAAAUAUUCAACCUUCGAUGUUGAAAAAACAUCAUGAAAUUUAUCAUUACAUAAUACUCUAUCCAAUAUCUUGAAUAUACAAUCUUCAUCAGUCCUCCCAUUCCACCAUAUAUAUUUGCUUUCCUUGAAUCCAAGAUCCUUCAAAUUGUAAAGAUUGAUACAAUGUGUGAAAUCUUCUGUUUCAUUCACAAUAACUGGUAACCCUCCCAACUUCUCCUCUUCACUUAUUAUCACAUUGAAAUCCCCUGCCACUACCCAACGGUCUUGGGUUAUUUGUGCCAAUUCUUUCAAUUAUUUCCAAAACUAGAGCCUCUCAUCUUAUGUGCAUUUGGAAUACACUACUGUAACUAUAAUUGUAAUGCUUGUUUCUGGUUUCACCAAUUUGAUGGCCAUUUAUUGCUCUUCAUCUGUUAGCAUUGUAUAUUCCAUGCCUUCUUUAAUGAUUGCCCAGAUUUUCCCUGAUGAACUUGCCACUACCUGAUGCAUUCACAAUCUCCUUUUAAACUCCUCAAUGGUGUGAUUUUCUUUAAAAAGUUCCAAUAAUCCAAUGAAAGAAAAUUGGUUUCUUUUUUCCAAUGUAAUAAGCCUAGUUAAUGAUUUUUGAGUAUUUACUAAUCUAAUAUUCCAUAUUAAAGCAUUCAUUUAGAUUUAUUUUUUGUUGAGUCACUUGUUUGCAUUGUAGCAGUUUUACCCCCUUUCUCCUUUUUUUUGUAUGCCUUGAGUUAACUUCAGCCUUUCUAUCUGUCUUGGUGAUAAAUUCCCUUCAACUCCCUGAUCAAUAUUUUUACCCAAAUCUACAUCAUCCAGAUUAUUUCUCUUCUUAAUUCUAUAUGCAAUCUUAUUUUCAACGUUGAUUGCUAAAGGUAACAUAUUUUCUAUUAUCUUUUCUUCCUUUUCUCCAUCUUUAAGAGGCAAUAGUUGCAAGGCUUUUGUAUGUUCUUAUUUUGCAUUUUCUUGCACUUUUGAUUCGUUGUUGUCAUCAUUGUUAUCCUUGCUUUCAUUUUCGUAUUGUGGCUUUGCUUGGCUGUCUUCAGUUGUUACUUCCUCUGUAUUCCCAUAUGCUUUUGUCUUAUUUUCUUUGCUACCUGAGUUGUUAUUAAAGGUGUUUAACACCCAGUCUUUUUGUACUUUGUUCAACCUUCUGCCCUUCUUUCACUAUCUACUUAUUUGAGAUGCUUUCUUCUUGCUCCCCUUGUGUAAGCACCUCAAAUGAAUUUGUUACUGGAAGAUUCCCUUGUUUUUCUUUUUCCACCUCUUCUACAAUAUGACCAAAUUUUUCCUUUUUGUAUUUAUUUCUCCUUGUUAACCACUGCUGCUUGAACUGUCUUCUACGCUUGUAAUUAUGUGCCUCUGCAUCUGCCUCUUUAUAUUCCUUCUCCUCCUCUUGUAGAGCUUCUUCUCCUUUACUUUCUGUCUUCUGUUCCUCCAUUAACUCAGAAUGUAUAUUCCAGCAUGUUGCUUCAUCAUGGCAUUGCAAGUAAAGCUCUUUACCGUACUUCGCCUUGUAGUCAUAUUGUAUAGUUUUCCAUUUGGAUUUAAUAUGUCCAAUCUCAUCAUCUUCCUCAUUUAUCUUACUCUAUGUGGAACUUUAGAAACAAGGUCAACAUCCACUUUCACUCUACCACAGCUAGGUCUAGUUUGAUUCUUGGUUUCCAUGUAUAGUGUCAAUGGUUUCCCUACUGCUAAGGCAAUAAAAAACAAGGCUUCCAUUGCAAAGAAAUUUGGAGGUAGAUCCGGCAUAGAUAUCCAUGCAAUACCUAUAGUUAUUUCAACAUCUAGUUUAAACCAAGGAUCCCGUUUAAGGGUUCUCAUAUGCCAAUAAACCUCCUUUGCCUUUAUAUAAUAUGCUGCAGUUGCUAUUAAAUUAACAGAAUCCUCCGUUAUGCUUAAUCAUAUAGAAAUAUAACAUGAAUCAAAGACACCAAUAUUACAUUUUCCCUUAAUAUUGUAUUGAAUCGGUAUACACUUCCUCAAUUCUACUAUGUUCGGUUUACCAUACAAAAACUUACCAAUUAAUGCAUAUUGUGAUUUCUCUUGCAUGAUAAGGCUCUACACUUCAGAUAUUUUUCAUGUAAUGCUAGGCUCCCCUUCAAAAAGCUAUACUGGUUUUGGAGUGAUUCGUUAGCUGACACUAUUGCUUUCUUUUGGUUUUAAUAUAUUAACAUAUAAAACCCUAUUUUUUGUUACUUCAUUGUUCUCCUUGCCACUAGUAUCUCCAUCUUUGUUUCUUGGUAGGUUAGUCCCACAGGAGAUGGUGGCCAUGUCGGUGAAUCUGACUAUUAAAGUAAUGUUUAUGGUUUAGAUUGAGAGAGAAUGAAGCAGUAUCAGCCUACCAAAAGACAACUUCAUCCAUUUGUGGAACUAAUUUGAUAAUGGAAUAGUCAAUGUCUGAGAAAACCAAAGAAAAAAUAAUCAAAUAUUAUUUUGGUGAAUAGAGGUGAUAAGUCGUCAGCUAAGUGAUAUGUUAUCAGCUUAGACAUCGAUAUGAAGCAGGGUUUGAAGAGUCAUAUGAGGAUUAUACUGAUAAUCCAUCUGCCAAGUGAUAAGUCAUCAGCUUUAUUGUCAACAAGAGACGGAAUUUAGCUGUUGAAGAACUUAGUUGACCACAUGGCUGACAAGCUAUCAACUAAGUGACAAGCCGCCAGCAUCAUCGUCAAAUGUUGUGUGAAAUUUUAGUGGUUUGAAUUUUAUAUAAAUAGCAUCUUUUAGGUUUUCCUUCGCAUCUUAGACUAUUUUCAAAAAAUGCUAGUUUAGUUGUUGGAGCACUGAAGUCCUGAAUUCUUCUUUUGAUUAAGUUUUGUAUGGGAGAUUUUGGUGAAAAAUUAAAGGAGAGCAUUAUUUAAAUUUAAUCCUUUUAAAGGAUAACUCUUUUAAUUAUGAAGUCAUCAUUUGCAAUC